CCCUGGCUCCAGCUUGGGGCCAGGCGUCGGGGGCGGUGGGGGAUGGGGGGGCAG
rnacentral:miRNA from 1 species